GCUGGGCGUGGUGGCGCACGCCUGUAGUCCCAGUUACUCGGGAGGCUGAGGCAGGAGAAUUGCUUGAACCCGGGAGGUUGUAGUGAGCUGAGAUCGCGCCACUGCACUCCAGCCUGGGCGACAGAGCGAGACUCCGUCUCAA
rnacentral:SRP_RNA from 2 species